rnacentral:rRNA from 1 species
AGAACUUAGCAGAGAUGCUUUGGUGCCUUCGGGGAACUCUGAGACAGGUGCUGCAUGGCUGUCGUCAGCUCGUGUUGUGAAAUGUUGGGUUAAGUCCCGCAACGAGCGCAACCCUUAUCCUUUGUUGCCAGCGGUCCGGCCGGGAACUCAAAGGAGACUGCCAGUGAUAAACUGGAGGAAGGUGGGGAUGACGUCAAGUCAUCAUGGCCCUUACGAGUAGGGCUACACACGUGCUACAAUGGCGCAUACAAAGAGAAGCGACCUCGCGAGAGCAAGCGGACCUCAUAAAGUGCGUCGUAGUCCGGAUUGGAGUCUGCAACUCGACUCCAUGAAGUCGGAAUCGCUAGUAAUCGUAGAUCAGAAUGCUACGGUGAAUACGUUCCCGGGCCUUGUACACACCGCCCGUCACACCAUGGGAGUGAGUUGCAAAAGAAGUAGGUAGCUUAACCUUCGGGAGGGCGCUUACCACUUUGUGAUUCAUGACUGGGGUGAAGUCGUAACAAGGUAAGCGUAGCGAG